rnacentral:rRNA from 1 species
UACGGAGGGGGCUAGCGUUGCUCGGAAUUACUGGGCGUAAAGGGCGCGUAGGCGGAUCGUUAAGUCAGAGGUGAAAUCCCAGGGCUCAACCCUGGAACUGCCUUUGAUACUGGCGAUCUUGAGUAUGAGAGAGGUAUGUGGAACUCCGAGUGUAGAGGUGAAAUUCGUAGAUAUUCGGAAGAACACCAGUGGCGAAGGCGACAUACUGGCUCAUUACUGACGCUGAGGCGCGAAAGCGUGGGGAGCAAACAGG